CAAAUUAGAGCUUGAUAAAGUAUCUUAUUUACAUUAAGAAGAUAAAUUGUAAAUUCAAUUUAAUUUGA
rnacentral:tRNA from 1 species